UGAUGGCGGAGAAGGAAAGCUGAUAGUGAAAGCGUGUAGCGUUCAAAUAUGGUAAGCAUAAAAAACCAGAGCGGAGAAAUUAAUUGUCAUUGUUGGGCCCAAAUUUAAGCCUACAUUUAAACAGGCCUGGGUUCAUUUAUGUCUUUCACCCAUUAAAAAUUUAAAUUUCGAGGGUUUUUUUUAAAAAACAAUUUGAAUUUUGAAGUGAGUUUUGACCAGGUCACAUACGCUGGAGCUAUGUCUGGACAUUCGGAUCCUCGGUUCUUAUCGGAUUUAGAUUAGUUCUUAUUGGGUUUGGAUCUUAGACAUUUAAAUCCGAUUAGAUAGUUAAAAAUUAUUCCGAAUUUGUAUCGAUACGGAUCUAUAAUUCAUAUACCCCCAC
rnacentral:lncRNA from 1 species